rnacentral:hammerhead_ribozyme from 1 species
GCACGGCUGAAGAAUCCCAUAAUAGGACGAAACGGCCGUUCAGUGC